UGACCACUAACACCUCUCAUCUGUGUCCUUGUGACUGGAGCAGUCGGGGUGACUGCUCCAGUAUCUUCAUGUUUCACUGUGAGCAUUAAAGGUAAAAUCAUGGUGUGUGAAGAAGUUGAACCUUCACCUCAUUCAUGUAUGCAGACAAACAUCACCAUGGAAACUGUUUUCUAAUAAUAAACCAAAUGUACAGAAGAGCUGCAUGAAUGUCAACACUGACCUCAUCUAACACUCUUCACACCUUUAACUUCCUCUAUUCUAUUAUGUCUGUUUCUACUGAUGUAGAGUCCCUGGAAAAGAUGACACGAGAGUCUGCAAAUUACACUCAAUAUAAAAGUUAAAAAAAUGUAGAUAUUAAAUUAGUGAAAAACUUUAAGAGAGACGGGGUAGGUAAGGAAACACAAAAGCUAAAAACUGAAAUAAUUUAGAAACAGAGGAAAAGAAAAGGAGUGAUGUCACUAUGAGGAAGUGAGCAGGAAGUUGAUGCUGUAUUCAUCUCUGAGAGCAAGAACAGAGACUGAGAGAGACAGAGAAGCACGAUGGCUGCAUUCACAUGGAUUCAAAUGUCUUCAUUACUGAUACUGAUGCUUCAGUUUAAAGGAAGAACUGAGCAACAUCAAACUGAUCAAACUGUCACAGCUGAACGUGGACAUGAUGUUACUCUGCCUUGUAAAAAUGUGAUACAAGGUCAGCAUAACUGUAUCAGUACUACCUGGAUCUUCAGUGAUUCAAGCAGCUCAGUAGCACUCUUUGACCAUGGGCAGAAUAAAGAAGUCAAACGUAAAUCAGACAGACUGAGUCUUUCUGCAGACUGUUCUCUGGUUAUAAAGAAGGUCACAGAUCAGGAUGUUGGUCAUUACACCUGCAGACAGUACAAAACAGCAACAGGACCACAAGAAUAUUCAGACCUAUUGAUUCAUCUGUCUGUUAUUAACAGUGAGUAUUUACAUCUUAAUGUUUUCAGCUCAAACUGUCCUGUUAGAACAACAAACUGA
rnacentral:lncRNA from 1 species